AUUGAACGCUGGCGGCAGGCCUUACACAUGCAAGUCGAACGGCAACACGAAGGAUCGCGCUGCUUUGCUGACGGCGGGCGGAUGGGUGAGACAUCGCAGGGUAACCUGCCGAUGGAGGGGGACAGCCGAAGGCAACGGUAGCAAAUAACGCGUACCGCCGCAGGACGAAAGAGGCGGUCCGGCGGGGCUCUUGCCAUCGGAUGGGCCGAGAUGGGAUUAGCUAGUAGGGGGGGUAACGGCGCACCUAGCCGACGAUCCCUAGCUGGUCUGAGAGGAUGACCAGCCACACAGGAACUGAGACACGGUGCAGACUCCGACGGGAGGCAGAAGUGGUGAAUAUUGCAAAAUGGGCGCAAGCCUGAUGCAGCCAUGCCGCGUGUAUGAAGAAGGCCUUCGGGUUGUAAAGUACUUUCAGCGGGGAGGAAGGGAGUAAAGUUAAUACCUGUGCUCAUUGACGUUACCCGCAGAAGAAGCACCGGCUAACUCCGU
rnacentral:rRNA from 1 species